CACAAGCACAUUGGUUCACUUGACAUCCGAAGGCUUUUAUUUAAAACAGUUCAAAAUAGGGGGAAAGGAAUUGCACAAAUGUUGAACACCACGCCGAUAACAAGGGCCCCUUUUGAAGUUCAUUGGCACCCAUUACUUAUCCCAGAUUAUAUUCAACCCUAGAUCCUGGCUAUUCACUGAGAGGCUUAUUUUCCUAUUUUAUUCAUCAAGUUGAUCAGGAUGUUACUUGCUACGGAAUGGAUUGGCACAUUGCCAACAGCCGGAUUGGUUUGUUUAGUAAACAGCACGAUGGUUUGGCGAACAAUCAGCACACCGUCGCCCAUCCUGAAUCGAGGACAAAAUCGAAGGGAACGAAAUGGACGGAAGAGCCAAUCAGAUGCCAGCUAUUGUCUGAACCAGGUAAACGCGUGCCAUGUACGCGCCGCGGACAUCUGCGGAGUCUGGUUGCUUGUUGCUUGUAGGCCAGGCCAGGUUGAUGGCUCGGUGUCGUGCCGUCGCCGGUAUCGCGAUUUGUACUGCACUUAUGAAAGGGCCCACCCAGUCUGUGUGUAAGUGGAUAGACUAUCAUCUCCGCCUCGUUGUACGUUAUUCAGGAUACAUACGCCCUCGGAGACUGUGUAACAUUAUGUCACACUCCGCUAGUCGAUGGGCGUUAAACGAAAACCCAAGAACGACAGUGAAAGUGAAGGCUCGGCUGUUCGGGAGCUGAGGUGAGAUGCCUGUCGUUUCUCAUGUCGGCCACAAAAUAAACAGGUUACUACGAAAGCUAAUCGAGCGGGCAGGCGCAUCACCGGCCCGUUCCCAUGGACGUAGAGGCAGAUUCGUGCUUGCUCAUCGUCGGGGCGGAGCAUAGAGACGACAUGUGAGAGACCCGAAAGUGCGUAACUAUGCUUGCGACAGGUUGAAACAGGAGAACUCUGGUGCGAGGACCCGCAGCAUCUCGACGAUGCAAAUCGAUCCUUACCAACAGUGAGAUAUAGCGCGCGAAAGACUAAUCGAACCACUCUAGUAAGCUGUGUUCCCUGCGAAGUUUCCCUCAGGAUAGAGCUCGGCCAUAUCUGGGAAAUCCCCAUAAACAUUUUCCGGUAAAGCGAAUGAUUAGAGGCAUUGGGGCAAAACGUCCUAACCUAUUACUCAAAACUUUAAAUCGGGUGCAGAAGACCAACUUAACUCGUCAAAACGCAGACUGGCCCAGAUUGAAUGUAGAGAGUAAUGCAGAUGGAGCCCAUUUCUUGUAAGCAGAGCUGCGGCGCUGGUGGGAAGACACACGUUCGUUACAGGAUGAAAACCUAAGCGCGCAACGCCAAUGAGAUACCACAAAACGGUGUCUGUUGGUUCCAGAAGCACAGGACCGGGGCCCAUGAAGUUGGAAUCGUAAGGACGUGUCUGUAAAACAACUCACCUUGCCGAAUCAAACCAGCCCUGAAACAUGGAUGGCGCUGGAGCGUCGGACCUAUAACGCGGACAGUCAUUGCAAGCUGAAGUCGUAAAAACUGUAUCGGUGUGAGAGGCAACCACAAAAUGACUCCGGCGCGGAAUUGUGCGACGAGAUAGGAGGAGUCGCCGUGAAGUGACUGGAAGCUUUCGGGCGUGAGACUGAGUGGCGCCGCCACGGGUGACAGAUCUUAGUAGGUGAUGCAAAAUUCAAGUAGAGAAACCUUGAAGAAGCGCCGAGGUGAGACAGGGUUCCAAAUGGAACAGAUGGCCAUGGAGUUCAGCGUCAUAAGAUGAUCCAGGUAAAUCGGUGCAAAGAACGGAGUGACCUGACAUUGUCAGGACUUGCUGCCAUUGAUAAUGUCAGCACGGUUGCCCCAACCUGUACGAAAAGGAAGCGGGUUAAUUUCCACGACCCUCCCACGGAAACUUGGUGGGCUUCUUGGCUUCGGUUCAGUUCUAGCAACACUGGCGCUGCUAACGCAAUCGAUCGGAGGACGUCGGCGAGAGUUCUGCGGAAGAGUUCUCUUUUCUGUUUAGGAGUGCAACCAUCCCUGGAAACGGGUUGUUCACGAAGAUAAGGACUCAGCCUCGUAAAGCACACCCUUCUUGUGCGUGUCCGAACACUCCUUAGAUCGGCCUUGAAUACAUCCGACGCGAGGAAUAUAAUUUUCGUGCACGGCCGACCAUAUUCCGCAUCAGGUUCUUCCAAGUGAACAGCCUCUGGCAUUGAAACAAUGUCAGGGUAAAGGCGACAAGUCGGCAAAUUGGAUCCGAACUUUCGGGAAAAAGAUUGGCUCAUGCAAGGGCCGAGUCUCAAACGGGCUUGAAGUAAGAUUACGUGCCUCGGUUCAAGUUGGAGGACUUGGUUUCUUUUCCUUGUCUCGCUCGGUGGGAUAGGGUUGACGGCAGUUACUGAACUCUGACCCAUCCGGUCGUACCGGGCGACUUCAGACUACAGAGUUGCUUGGCAAGCGGAUGUGCACAUGAAGUACACUGUUCGUGCGCAUGCGGUUUGCUCAUCUUCGUCUCGCGUUCAACGGCAUAACUCAGAACUGAGCACUGACCAGAGAAUCCGACUGUCUACAUUAAAACAAAGCAUUGCAGAUGAUCCACUGAAUCCGGUUUUUGACGCAAUGUGAUAUUACUGCCAAGUGCUCCUGAACUGUCAACGUGAAAAAUUCAAUAUCAAGCGCAGGGUAAACGGACAAGGAAAGUAUAUGACUCUCAUUAAGCAUAGCCAAAUGCCUCAGUCAAUUAAUAUUAGUGACGCGCGAUGAUGGCAAUUAGACGAGAUUACUACUGUCCCUAUUACAGUAUCUAGCGAACCACAACCAAGGGACGGGCUUGGCAGAAUUAGCGGAAACGGAAAGAGACCCCUGAUUUAGAGCUUGGACAUUAGUCGACUUUGUGAGACGAAUGACCGCGUGCUAGAACAGUGGCGAGACGGUCCUUCGGGGCUUGUCGACAGCUGAAUACCACCACCGUCACUUAGUGUUCUUUGCUUAUUCAGUAAAAACGGGAAAUUAGAAUUUGUUCUAAGCAAACAAUCUGCUGGCGUCCGUGCGUAUGCUGCGGAGGGUUAGUAUCUUAGUCAUGUCAGAUAAGUCGUAAGAUCUCGCGCGGCGUUUGAGUUGAUUGUGAUGUGCACCCUUCUGAACGACAACUGUCAGGCGGGAGUUUAGACUGGGGACCGUACAUCUGAUCAAUAAGUAACGCAAGGUCCAAAAGGUGAGCUCAAGCCAGGCGGAAACCUGCGUGGAAGUACAAAAGGCCAAAAGACUUACUGUUUUGGAUUUUCAGUACGAAUACAACAGACGUGAAAGCGUGGCCUAUCGACCUUUUGAUCCGAUAUUCAGAGUUUGAAGCAGACGGUGUCAUAAAAAAGUUACGACAGGAUAAACUGCUUAUGUGGCGGCCAAGCGUCUCACUAGCGACGUCGCUUUUUGAUCUUCGCAUGUCGAUGCAUUUCCUAGCGUCUGUGACGCAGAACUUCACCAAGCGUUGAGAUUUCAACCAUAAUAGGACGUGAGCUGGGUUCUAGACCGUUCGUGAGACAGGUUGUUUUACACCUUACUAAUGGUACAUGAAACAAGUGAGUUACACAACUGCCGUUGACUAUCGGUAAUCCUGAUUAGUACGAGAGGAAACCGCAGGUUCAGACAUUUGGUACUAUGUGCCUGGUCGAAAAGGCAAUAGGUGCCGAAGCUUCACAUCUGAGGGCAUUAGGAAACUGAAGGCUCUAAGUCUGACAUCCGAUCACAGAUAUGCAACGUAUUUCAGGGCCUGACACGUGGCUAGAAGCCUACGUAUUACUGCCGGUGCUACUGGUUCAGGCUAUGCUGCACUGGAUAGUAAACGGUGGUUGAAUGUACGCAAGAGCAGAUAUGACCGGAAACUUACCUCUAACUUCAGGAUUAUGCGAGGUCGACGACGAAUAGCCAAAUGUGCGAAAUGAGCGUGAAGGCAAAUAAAUCGUUUUGACACUUAAUGUUUUUUGUCGGGCAGACGUCAAGUGUGAAAGAGCAGCUAUCACACUACGCCGAGACACUGAGUCCUACACUUAACUGACCGUAAUGAAUUUGGCCACGGAUCCUCGUUCAUUAAGGGCCGGUCAAGAGGCCCGCCGGCGAACGACACUCGAAUAUGUGCAUACCAGUGUCACAAAUACCUCUGACUGUAUACUCCAAAUCAAUCGAUUGAGUACAGGAACCAUGGGGCCCCGUCUGCCCUACAUGCUUUUGGGCUCCAUAGAACAUUUCGUCCUGCCGGUCCCCCAUUAUGUGUGCCGAGUGCUGACUGACUUGUGAUGCUCCUUUGU
rnacentral:rRNA from 1 species